GACGAACGCUGGCGGCGUGCCUAAUACAUGCAAGUCGAACGCACUCUCGUUUAGAUUGAAGGAGCUUGCUCCUGAUUGAUAAACAUUUGAGUGAGUGGCGGACGGGUGAGUAACACGUGGGUAACCUGCCCUAAAGUGGGGGAUAACAUUUGGAAACAGAUGCUAAUACCGCAUAAAAACCUAAACACCGCAUGGUGUAGGGUUGAAAGAUGGUUUCGGCUAUCACUUUAGGAUGGACCCGCGGUGCAUUAGUUAGUUGGUGAGGUAAAGGCUCACCAAGACCGUGAUGCAUAGCCGACCUGAGAGGGUAAAUCGGCCACACUGGGACUGAGACACGGCCCAGACUCCUACGGGAGGCAGCAGUAGGGAAUCUUCCACAAUGGACGAAAGUCUGAUGGAGCAACGCCGCGUGAGUGAAGAAGGUUUUCGGAUCGU
rnacentral:rRNA from 1 species